rnacentral:misc_RNA from 1 species
UGCUUCAACUGCACCCAAUAGCUGGAAGUGAUUGACCACAUCAUUUGACAUACAUGACAUAACUUCAUGCGUCCAGUCCACAAAGCUGGUAAAAGCCUUUGUCAUAUCUGGGCGCGUAAGAAGCCUUGAGAGCAGCAAACCCGAUAUGGUUCGCAUAGGACCCGCAUUUGAAAGGUAGUCUUUAGAGAUUUCCAGAAUUUUUAGAACAAGUGGAGGUGGCUCAUCACCUCCAGCAUAGUUAUUAUUCCCAGCACUAGUAUCCAUAGAAGCUAUAUCAAAAGGGAUCAAUACAAGAAUGUAUAGCCACAAUAGUAUCACACACUUUGCCUCCAUCUCUCCAGUACUUUCUUGUCGUAAUGAUGUUCCAGCUUGUGUAUUAUGGCAUUUCUCCAGGAGAGAUACUGCAAGCUCCAGGUCAGAAACCUGAUGAGGGAAG